GGCGGAGGAGGCAAGCGUUAUCCGGAAUCACUGGGCGUAAAGCGUCUGUAGGUGGUUUAUCAAGUCUGCUGUUAAAGCUUGAGGCUUAACCUCAAAAAAGCAGUGGAAACUGAUAGACUAGAGAAUGGUAGGGGCAGAGAGAAUUCUCAGUGUAGCGGUGAAAUGCGUAGAUAUUGAGAAGAAUACCGAUAGCGAAGGCGCUCUGCUGGGCCAUUACUGACACUCAGAGAAGAAAGCUAGGGGAGCAAAUGGG
rnacentral:rRNA from 1 species